rnacentral:rRNA from 1 species
AUUGAACGCUAGCGGGAUGCCUUACACAUGCAAGUCGAACGGAGUGGCGAACGGGUGAGUAAUGUAUCGGAACGUGCCCAGUAGCGGGGGAUAACUACGCGAAAGCGUAGCUAAUACCGCAUACUAUUGGAGCGGCCGAUGUCGGAUUAGCUAGUUGGUGGGGUAACGGCUCACCAAGGCGACGAUCUUAAGCUGGUUUGGGAGGACGACCAGCCACACUGGGACUGAGACACGGCCCAGACUCCUACGGGAGGCAGCAGUGGGGAAUAUUGGACAAUGGGGGAAAGCCUGAGCCAGCCAUGCCGAGUGUGAGAUGAAGGCCUUCGGAUUGUAAAGCACUUUUGGUAGGAAAGCGGUACCUACAGAGUAAGCACCGGCUAACUACGUGCCAGCAGCCGCGGUAAUUC